rnacentral:miRNA from 1 species
UUUAUAUUACGUACGGAAAUUGUUACCAUUUUUGAGCCGAAAAUGGUAACAAUUUCCGCACGUAAUACAAA